UUUUAUGACGUUCCACAUGGGCUGGAAGAGGUGGUUAUGUAUUACAAACAAAGAUACAAUAAUACAGCAACAUAUAUCACAGAAAAUGGUUAUGCUCAAGCAAGCAAUAGCAGCCUGGCUGCUAAUGAUUUUACCAGUGACACAGGAAGAAUAAAUUAUAUGAGUGGCUACCUCAAAUUUUUAGCCUCUGCAAUAAGG